rnacentral:rRNA from 1 species
GAUGAACGCUGGCGGCGUGCCUAACACAUGCAAGUCGAGCGAACGGACGAGAAGCUUGCUUCUAUGAUGUUAGCGACGGACGGGCGAGUAACACGUGGAUAAGCUACCAAUAAGACCAAGAUAAGGUCAGGAAACCGGACCUACUACCGGAGAAUACUUUGAACCGCAUGGUUGAAGAGCGCAAGACGGUCUUGCCGCCGCCUAUAGGCGGGUUCGCGCUGCAUCAGCUAGUUGGUAAGGUAACGGCUUACCAAGGCAACGAUGCGUAGCCGAACUGAGAGUGUGAGCGGCCACCCUGGAACUGAGAGACGGUGCAGACUCCUACAGGAGGCAGCAGUGGGGAAUCGUCCGCAAUGGGCGAAUGCGUGACGGAGCAACGCCGCGUGAGUGAUGAAGGUCUUCGGAUCGUAAAGCUCUGUUAUUAGGGAAGAAGAUAUGUGUGAGUAGCUGCGCACCUCUUGACGGUACCUAAUCAGAAAGCCACGGCUAACUCCGUG